GGUUAGUAUUAACGAGUGAGGGAUGUAGAGUGAUUCGAAAUUAAGUGAAUAUGUUUAAGUAAUCAAAUGAAAUAUAAAUAUUAAGUCUCAACUUAUUGCUUAUUGAAGGAUAUAUAUAUUUUAUUUUAUUUUGACGAUAAGAAAGGGUUAUUAUUGAGAAAUCCAUUGUAACUGUAUAUGGAUGAAAUUGAAGUGGCUUAUAUUUAUGAUCGUUUCAGGAGGGGAUUUGGACGUGGGAACAGCAUACCAGCCCCGUUAGUCCAGUCUAUAUCUGAGGCUGUUGACUGAGGUGUGGUGGAGAUUAUUUUGAUAGUUUUGCAACCAUUGUUACCACCAAUUGUAGGUUCUUUUGUUUGAAAUUGUGUAAUCAACAAGUGAAAUAUUUGCAUCAUAUUGGAGGAAAUUUUUUUGGGUAUUUAUAUACACCAAUGAUUAUGAUGUAAUAUUGUAAUCUAAACUGCUUUCUAUUAUCCUUUUGAGAGGCAAUUUUGAU